rnacentral:rRNA from 1 species
GAUGAACGCUGGCGGCGUGCCUAAUACAUGCAAGUCGAGCGAACAGACGAGGAGCUUGCUCCUCUGACGUUAGCGGCGGACGGGUGAGUAACACGUGGAUAACCUACCUAUAAGACUGGGAUAACUUCGGGAAACCGGAGCUAAUACCGGAUAAUAUAUUGAACCGCAUGGUUCAAUAGUGAAAGACGGUUUUGCUGUCACUUAUAGAUGGAUCCGCGCCGCAUUAGCUAGUUGGUAAGGUAACGGCUUACCAAGGCAACGAUGCGUAGCCGACCUGAGAGAGGGGUCGCCCACACUGGAACGGAGACACGGUCCAGACUCCUACGGGAGGCAGCAGUAGGGAAUCUUCCGCAAAGGGCGAAAGCCUGACGGAGCAACGCCGCGUGAGUGAUGAAGGUCUUCGGAUCGUAAAACUCUGUUAUUAGGGAAGAACAAAUGUGUAAGUAACUAUGCACGUCUUGACGGUACCUAAUCAGAAAGCCACGGCUAACUACGUG